UACGGAGGGUGCGAGCGUUGUUCGGAAUCACUGGGCGUAAAGGGCGUGUAGGCGGUCCGCUAAGUCUGAUGUAGAAGCCCGGGGCUCACCCCCGGAAGUGCAUUGGAAACUGGCGGACUCGAGUCCCGGAGAGGAGAGUGGAAUUCCUGGUGUAGCAGUGAAAUGCGUAGAUAUCAAGUGGAACACCAGUGGCGAAGGCGAGUCUCUGGACAAUUCCUGACGCUGAGGCACGAAAGCCAGGGGAGCAAACGGG
rnacentral:rRNA from 1 species